rnacentral:rRNA from 1 species
CAGUAGCCGCGGGAAUACGGAGGGAGCUAGCGUUGUUCGGAAUUACUGGGCGUAAAGCGCACGUAGGCGGCUUUGUAAGUUAGAGGUGAAAGCCUGGAGCUCAACUCCAGAAUUGCCUUUAAGACUGCAUCGCUUGAAUCCGGGAGAGGUGAGUGGAAUUCCGAGUGUAGAGGUGAAAUUCGUAGAUAUUCGGAAGAACACCAGUGGCGAAGGCGGCUCACUGGACCGGCAUUGACGCUGAGGUGCGAAAGCGUGGGGAGCAAACAGGAUUAGAUACCCGCGUAGUCCCUGUCUCUUAUAC